rnacentral:rRNA from 1 species
ACGGAAGGCAGCAGUGGGGAAUAUUGGACAAUGGGGGAAACCCUGAUCCAGCGACGCCGCGUGAGUGAAGAAGUAUUUCGGUAUGUAAAGCUCUAUCAGCAAGGAAGAAAAUGACGGUACUUGACUAAGAAGCUCCGGCUAAAUACGUGCCAGCAGCCGCGGUAAUACGUAUGGAGCAAGCGUUAUCCGGAUUUACUGGGUGUAACGGGAGCGUAGACGGCAAAGCAAGUCUGAAGUGAAAUCCCGGGGCUCAACCCCGGAACUGCUUUGGAAACUGUUUAGCUAGAGUGCAGGAGAGGUAAGCGGAAUUCCUAGUGUAGCGGUGAAAUGCGUAGAUAUUAGGAGGAACACCAGUGGCGAAGGCGGCUUACUGGACUGUAACUGACGUUGAGGCUCGAAAGCGUGGGGAGCAAACAGGAUUAGAUACCCUGGUA